AAGGAAAUUUAAAUAAAGUAGCUGCUAACUAACUUUUAAAGCGAUUAACUUCCGUUUUUUCCUUA
rnacentral:tRNA from 1 species